CAGGUGUCACGAGGACUGGUUGAAUUGAAUCCACUUGAAGUGCACUGCGACGGCAGUUGUGUUAUACAAUGAAAACAUCGCAGAAGGCCUGCUGCUUGUCGCAACAGGAGUCAGAUGGUGUUAGUGUUUCACCCAGAUAGGGAACGUGAAGUUUCAGUGAGCUGUUCUGUUUGGAAAGCAAGAACAGAGAACACAUCAAGAGAAGAACUUAUCUUGUUUGAAGUAAGAUAGGCAUCUGUGCAUUCGAAGAUCAUGUACACAAGGAAAUGUAGCAGUCUCUUCCUCGAUGAUCCUCUUCAUAACGCUGGUGGCAAGCGUCCUCAUGGUGUGCUUUGUGUUCACUUGUUACCGGUUCGUCAGUAUCUUGUUUCCGAAGGAACAUCGCAGAGACAUCUUUGUCGCUGAUAAUCGGACCGCUCUCCGAAGACAUACAAACACAAGCUGGCCGAUGACAGCACCGAAACAGCGACAAUGGGAACCUCCACCCGCUUACAAAGACAAUGGACCACCGCCGCCCUAUUCGUUAGUGGUGAACGGUCCAGGGAUACAGCAACCGAGGACUGGGGCCUUGUCAUCAGAAACUACAUUAGCGAUGUAGCGAAUACGUAGUAUAAGUGAACCCAUAAUGUUAGGGACUUGCUUCGGAUUCCAAAUAGCAUUGUCCACGCAGUUAAAUAAAAUAGAAUGGCCUAUU